rnacentral:rRNA from 1 species
GGAUGAACGCUAGCGGAACGCCUAACACAUGCAAGUCGAACGCCCCGAGCAAUCGGGGAGUGGCAAACGAGCGAGUAACGCGUACCUAAUCUGCCCAGAAGGCAUGGACAACUACGGAGACGUAGCUAAUCCGUGAUAGUAUCUUAAGGCUGAAAUGCCUAUAGAUUAAAGAUUUAUCGCUUCUGGAGGAGGGUGCGUCCUAUCAGGUUGUUGGUGAGGUAAUGGCUCACCAAGCCUAUGACGGGUAGCCGGUCUGAGAGGAUGUCCGGCCGCGAUGGGACUGAGACACGGCCCAUACUCCUACGGGAGGCAGCAGUGGGGAAUCUUGCGCAAUGGACGAAAGUCUGACGCAGCGAUUCCGCGUGGAGGAUGAAGCAUCAUGGUGUGUAAACUCCCUUUCUGGUGGAAGACGAAUGACGGUACACCAGGAAUAAGGGACGGCUAACUACGUGCCAGCAGCCGCGGUAAUACGUAGGUCCCAAGUGUUAUCCGGAAUUACUGGGCGUAAAGCGUCUGUAGCCGGAUAUAUAAGUCUGUUUUCAAAUCCUAUGGCUCAACCAUAGAAAGGGAAUAGAUACUGUAUAUCUAGAGUUUGUUGGGGGUUAGUGGAAUUUCCGGUGGAGCGGUGGAAUGUGUUGAUAUCGGAGGGAAUGCCAAAAGCGAAAGCAGCUAACUACAGCAAAACUGACGGUCAGAGACGAAAGCUUGGGGAGCGAACGGGAUUAGAUACCCCGGUGGUCCAAGCCGUAAAUUAUGCAUGCUACCUGUCUUGUCCACAUAUGUGGGUGGGGUGCCGUAAUCUAACGAGUUAAGCAUGCCGCCUGGGUAGUAUAUGCGCAAGCAUGAAACUCAA